rnacentral:rRNA from 1 species
UACGAAGGGUGCAAGCGUUAAUCGGAAUUACUGGGCGUAAAGGGUGCGUAGGCGGUUGUUUAAGUCUGUCGUGAAAUCCCCGGGCUCAACCUGGGAAUGGCGAUGGAUACUGGACAGCUAGAGUGUGUCAGAGGAAGGUGGAAUUCCAGGUGUAGCGGUGAAAUGCGUAGAGAUCUGGAGGAACACCGAUGGCGAAGGCAGCCUUCUGGGCCAACACUGACGCUCAUGCACGAAAGCGUGGGGAGCAAACAGG